rnacentral:rRNA from 1 species
UACGUAGGUGGCAAGCGUUAUCCGGAUUUAUUGGGCGUUAAGGGAACGCAGGCGGUCUUUUAAGUCUGAUGUGAAAGCCUUCGGCUUAACCGGAGUAGUGCAUUGGAAACUGGGAGACUUGAGUGCAGAAGAGGAGAGUGGAACUCCAUGUGUAGCGGUGAAAUGCGUAGAUAUAUGGAAGAACACCAGUGGCGAAAGCGGCUCUCUGGUCUGUAACUGACGCUGAGGUUCGAAAGCGUGGGUAGCAAACAGG